rnacentral:rRNA from 1 species
UACGAAGGGGGCUAGCGUUGUUCGGAAUUACUGGGCGUAAAGCGCGCGCAGGUGGUCUUUCAAGUCAGUGGUGAAAGCCCGGAGCUCAACUCCGGAACUGCCAUUGAAACUGUGAGACUUGAGGACGAGAGAGGUGAGUGGAAUUCCCAGUGUAGAGGUGAAAUUCGUAGAUAUUGGGAAGAACACCGGUGGCGAAGGCGGCUCACUGGCUCGUAUCUGACGCUCAGGCGCGACAGCGUGGGGAUCAAACAGG